AAUGAACGCUGGCGGCGUGCCUAACACAUGCAAGUCGAGCGAGAAAGUCCUUCGGGAUGAGUACAGCGGCGGACGGGUGAGAAACGCGUGAGAAUUUACCCUUUAGUGAAGAAUACCCUCGAGAAAUUGAGGUUAAUACUGCAUACGUCCCUUCGGGAAGAAAGAUGGCCUCUUUGCUGUCGCUAAAGGAUAAGCUUGCGUACUAUUAGCUAGUUGGUGAGGUAAAGGCUCACCAAGGCGAUGAUGGUUAGCCGGCCUGAGAGGGUGUACGGCCACACUGGAACUUAGACACGGUCCAGACUCCUACGGGAGGCAGCAGUGGGGAAUUUUGGACAAUGGGCGAAAGCCUGAUCCAGCCAUUCCGCGUGCAGGAUGAAGGCCCUCGGGUUGUAAACUGCUUUUGUACAGAACGAAAAGGUUUCUACUAAUACUAGGAGCUCAUGACGGUACUGUAAGAAUAAGCACCGGCUAACUACGUGCCAGCCGCCGCAGUAA
rnacentral:rRNA from 1 species